rnacentral:rRNA from 1 species
CCUACGGGUGGCAGCAGUGAGGAAUAUUGGUCAAUGGGCGAAAGCCUGAACCAGCCAAGUCGCGUGAGGGACGACGGCCCUACGGGUUGUAAACCUCUUUUGCCGGAGGACAAACGGCGGCACGCGUGCCGUCCUGAGGGUACCCGGAGAAAAAGCAUCGGCUAACUCCGUGCCAGCAGUCGCGGUAAUACGGAGGAUUCGAGCGUUAUCCGGAUUUAUUGGGUUUAAAGGGUGCGUAGGCGGGAUGCCAAGUUAGGGGAAAAAUACGGGGGCUCAACCUGCGUCCGCCGUUGAAACUUGCGGUUUUGAGGGAGCGAGAAGUACGCGGAAUGCGUGUGGUAGCGGUGAAAUGCAUAGAUA